rnacentral:rRNA from 1 species
GUGGGGAAUCUUGCGCAAUGGGCGAAAGCCUGACGCAGCUAUGCCGCGUGAAUGAUGAAGGUCUUAGGAUUGUAAAAUUCUUUCACCGGGGACGAUAAUGACGGUACCCGGAGAAGAAGCUCCGGCUAACUUCGUGCCAGCAGCCGCGGUAAUACGAAGGGGGCUAGCGUUGCUCGGAAUUACUGGGCGUAAAGGGCGCGUAGGCGGACAGCUUAGUCAGAGGUGAAAGCCCAGGGCUCAACCUUGGAAUUGCCUUUGAUACUGGCUGUCUUGAGUUUGGGAGAGGUGAGGGGAACUCCGAGUGUAGAGGUGAAAUUCGUAGAUAUUCGGAAGAACACCAGUGGCGAAGGCGACUCACUGGCCCAAUACUGACGCUGAGGCGCGAAAGCGUGGGGAGCAAACAGGAUUAGAAACCCGUGUAGUCC